UACAGAGACUGCAAGCGUUAUUCGGAUUCACUGGGCGUAAAGGGUGCGCAGGCGGCCGUGUGUGUGAGGCGUGAAAGCCUGGAGCUUAACUCCAGAAUUGCACCUCAAACUACACGGCUAGAGCAUUGGAGAGGGUAGCAGAAUUCACGGUGUAGCAGUGAAAUGCGUAGAUAUCGUGAGGAAUACCAGAGGCGAAGGCGGCUACCUGGACAAUUGCUGACGCUCAGGCACGAAAGCGUGGGGAGCAAACAGG
rnacentral:rRNA from 1 species